rnacentral:tRNA from 1 species
AAAGAAUUAGUUAAAUCUUAUAACAUAAAUAUGUCAAAUUUAAAUUAUUAUUUUAUAUAAAUAAUAUUCUUUU